UGCAGUGUCACCAGCUGAUAUAGAGCCACAAAUCCACACAGAUGUGAGCGACAUGGUGGAAGAGUUGACAUGUUUGAUCAGAGAGUUCAGCUUGGAUGAUGUCUCUGAAGGAUCUGAGAAGCUACCUGAACUGGACACGGAAGACGAUAAGUCUGAGGAAAUUCCUUCACCGCUGAACAGGG